GUCCCACUUGUGGGACAUAUGGUCAAUUUGAAACGAUACAGAGAAGAUUAGCAUGGCCCCUGCAUAAGGAUGACACGCUUUACAAAGAGAUUUAACGUUUUUUU
rnacentral:snRNA from 1 species